rnacentral:misc_RNA from 1 species
GACGAACCGUCCAAACGUUAUUCGGUAUCACUGGGCUUAAAGCGUGCGUAGGCGGCUUGGUAGGUGAGAUGUGAAAUCCCACGGCUCAACCGUGGAAUUGCGUUUCAAACCCCCAAGCUCGAGGAAGAUAGGGGUGAUGGGAACUUAUGGUGGAGCGGUGAAAUGCGUUGAUAUCAUAGGGAACACCGGUGGCGAAAGCGCAUCACUGGAUCUUUUCUGACGCUGAGGCACGAAAGCUAGGGUAGCGAACGGG